rnacentral:lncRNA from 1 species
UUUAAUUCUUUUUCGUAAUUGAAAAACACGACGGGCUGAAAAACCUAGGUUUAGUUUUACAAGGGGUCGCAAAAGAAAAAUAAAAUAUUACGGUGGAAGCAGUUAAAUUAACUUCGAUGCAGAUUAAUGUUCACAGCAUGAUUUUACUUUUUAGAUUAAUGUUCACAACAUGAUUUUACUUUACCUGCACUCACCUCUCUCUCCCUCUCUCUCUCUCCCUCUCUCCCUCACUCACUCGCAUGUCUUUUCAUUUUCUUUUUGGCCUCACUCCUUCCAUUUUUAUUCUUCAAGAUGUAGUGGCCACAGAUCACUCUGCUCUAGUUCAUACCGCUACGCAACUUAAGGUAUUCAAAAAAUCCUACUACAACACUUUAUCCCAUUGGUAUCCUCGUUUCAGGGGGACUAUCUCUGGCCACACUUGCGGUUGAAUCUGUAUAAAUGCAAUGAAUGGAGCCCAUUAGAGACUUCAAAAUGAAUAAAUUUAAACUAUGAAUAUCCAUCAGCAAGAUCUAAACAGGAACGGUAACAGCCAUAGG